GAGAUAACAACAUACACAGGCGGUUGAGAGGGGAAACAAAGGGGAAAGUAGUAACAAAAUUCCCUCUGUACUGAUUUUUUUGAGAAAAAUUCAUCGAAAAAUAAAACCUAUCUAACUAAAAAAUAACCACAAACCUUGAUCAUCCAAUGCCCAGUCCCCUCCAUUCCCAUUUUCAGUGAAACCCAUCAAAGACAAUCAAAAACCGACCUCAUCCUGUUAAUUAUGAUGAAAUUCCAUCAGAAAAUGAUGCUAGCACCGAUUCCCUUCAACUCCCAUCGUAAAACACCAAAACCAACCACCCAAAACUCCAAAAAAACAAUGACCAAACCAACCACCCCCCUAGGAAUUCCACAGUCUAUUUAUUGGAAUUUUUGAGGUCGUCUCAAAAACUCUACACCAGUUUAUAAUUUAUGCCGUUGUCAUGCCCAUGUAGAAUUUUUGAGGUCCUCUAAAAAAUUCCGCCCCAGUUACAGUCUUAUAUUCCUACACCACUCAAAAGAAAAUAUUAGUACAUAGUUAAUUAAAUGUCCCGGCGACUCUUCGGAACUUGUAAGUGUCUAUUUAAACCUGCAAAAGCAAAAUACAAGGGAAAGCAAACAAGAAAACAAACAUCAAAACAUUCCUAAAGACAUGUUUUCUAAAGGUUUUUCCAACGUCAUACAAUCAACAGAUAGAGAAUGAAAAUCGCGUUGAAUGAGGACUUACCAGUAAGCAGCAAGUAAAAAGAAAUAAUGGAAAUAAUAAUGUCAAGCACUUGGAGUAAUAGCAAGAUGUAUCCAGUAAGCCUUGAAGAAAAAUCAAAAGAACUCAAGUAUCUAAUUGCCUUGUAUUAAAAUAGCUGAUGUUUUGUUUAAGAGAGAGUAAUAGUUCGUUGCUUAAGAGGUUGAGAAAUGUCCCUUAAUUAAAAAGAAUAGUAGUUUAUAUAGAAAAGGAGGUUGGAGGAUAAAAGGAAAAAAUAAUUUUUAACAAUCAAUCAUGAUCAAUUAAGGAGAGGAAAAUAUUUUAUUGAGAUUUGUCAAAUGAGAUUUUUCAUAAAUAGAGAAAUCUUAUCUAAUAUCAAAUUCAGUCAAAGCAACUAAGAAGGAAAAUAUUUGUCAAGUAAAAAUCAAACAUAUUCUUCCUAAAGCAAUUUAGCAUCGGUCUAAAUUAAUAAAAAAAAAAGAGAAAUAUCAAUCAAUAGGAUUCAAUCAACCAAUUAUUCACGAAUCAGUCCAAAAAAUAAAAGAAAACAUGUGUUAAGCAAAAUCAAUCAACAAUAAUUAAUUUUAUUAUGUAGAAUUUACUAGAGGCGAAUUUACCAUGAAUGGUAAUCCUAUUAUUUUGAGAGAGAUUCGCUCAAUCACCAAUCAAAUUUUUCCUAAAUUAGUGAAUAAACUAUUUCACCAAAAUUAACCGUUAGUCCCUAAACGAAAAGGUCCAUAGUUAACGGAUUGACGUCAUAAUAGAGGGGUUAAAAUUUUCACCAAAAUCAAGAAAGUAAUCCCCUCUCAACAGAGCAAACUACCCAAAAUAUCACAACAAUACAACAAUCACAAAACACAUGCAAAUUUGGACAAACACAAUUCAAAGACAGUUUUAAAUGAACUAAAAAUGAAAUCAGAUACAAGAACAAAAGAUGGGUUGCAGAAGGUUAAGAGCUUAAAAACAAGAAAUCAAACCUACGUCAUGAACUUUUUGGUGGAUUUUGCCCGAAAUAACGGCGAUGGUGGCGGGGUCUCACCGACUAUUUUCACCGAUUGCAUGGCUGGUCGACGAGGAGAGAAAAGAGAGGACAGAGGGGGAUGACUCGUGGCUUGGUGGAUGUGGUAGAUCUGUGGGACUGCGCUAGAGUGGUGGCUCCGAUCGGUAAUGAAAAGCUAGUCGUUACUAACAGUGGCAAAGACGGAUGACGGGACGCAGAGAAGGGGGUUGUCGUCGCUGGUCAUUGCUGGUUCGUCGAAGGAGGCACUAGCGGGGAAGGGGGCCGGCGAUUCUUAGUCGUGGUUAGUAUCCGAUGUGGACGGUGUUCGUCAGCCAUGGCUGCCUCCCUUUGAGCGAGAGAGAGAGAAUUUGAGGGAGAAAGGCGGAAGAAAGAAAGAAAGAGAGGCUUGUUAUGAGAAUUAGGGUUUGUGGCAUUAAAUAAGGAAAGAAGGUGUUGAGGCAUCUCAGCCGUUAGAUCAAACUUGGUCAACAGUUAAGAUUAAAAUAGGGCCAAUAGUUUGAUUGGUUAACUUUGAA
rnacentral:lncRNA from 1 species